CAAAAAAAAAGUAAAAAGUGUCCGAGACAUUAAAAACGAUCAUUGAAUAGCCUGCCAUAAACCAAACCGAAACCGUCCCACCAGAUGCACCGACAGAGGGGCGCCACCAUCGUUUAACUCUAUAGUUUUUAAUAGUCAAAAAUUGGAACCAGCGAUCCGGCAUUGAUGGUGGCGCCCCGCCGCCAUCGCACGGAUAGGUCACGGUUGGGUCCAUACAUAAAUAUAGUGAUCUGUGGAAUGAAUAAAAACAAAACACCGUCGUAUGAUUAAAAUUUCUCUCUGACCGCCGCCAGCCAGCCAUGCCACUUCGCUCCAAUCACGCCAUACAUAAGUGCCACGUAAUCACCGUUAUAAUACCACCAAGCAACAAAUAAACAGAGGAGAGGCGUACUUGUCGUGAGGAUACCAUGGGUGUGUGUUUUGUGGUAGUGUUUUCGCUGCGACAAAGAUGACGCUCUGGCAGUUCGAAAGAUCAACGACUUUGAUGUCUUCCAGGUCCAGUGAUGAUAAUAUGUUGAGGAAGCAACCACCAUAGCACCAUCACACUAAAGCGAGAUGGGUCGCUAGGCACCUAUGCUGGGACGAAACCAUGUAACCCGUGUACAUGUUACGUGCAUACACUGUAGGGCACGAAUCGGCGGGGGGAGAUCGUUCCAACAACGCGUCGCAGCGAACCUGAAGGAGCCACGAAAUGCGACUGUUCGAUGCCUCGGUGUGGAGAAAAUCAGUGAUAUGAAGACCAUAGUAACUCAUCUUUGAGAGAAGAAGAGGAAUGCUGAUUGUGUCAAAGGCGCGCGAGAAGUCGAGCAACAACAUCAAUGACACUUGGCCCCUGUCCUGGGCAGCCAAGAGAUUGUCAACCACAUCAGCCAGUGCGGUUGCAGUUCCAUGACCUCUCCGGAAGCCAGACUGAUAGUGCGGGAGAAUGUCUUGUUCUUCAAGGUAUUUGGUAAGUUGACCACACACGAUUCUUUCCAACACUUUCGAAAGGCAUGGGAGCAAGCUGAUAGGUCGAAGUUCCUGCACUGUAACUGGUUGGCUGGUUUUUGGCAGUGGUUUGACAAGCGCUAUCUUCCAGCUCUCAGGAAAUACACACUCCUCGAUUGACCUAUUGAUCAUCAAAGUAAUAGCCUCCAGUGAGUGAGGCAAGGUUAACAGCAGCAUAUCUAAUGAUAUGCCAUCAUCUCCCUGGGCAUUUGUUUUCAGCGAUCUGAUAGUUUUCAAAAUGACUUCUUCGCUGACCGUUUGAAUAGUAAAUGGGGCGGCACCACGGUUGUAUCUAUGUAGCUCAAAGUAUGUCAGUUGUGAUAUUGAUAUAUUAUUCUCACCGGGUACAUUUAGAAAGUGCGUGUUUAUUAAGUUUGGAUCACAUAAUGAUGGAGGGAAAUCAGUAGACUCCUUUUUGUUGGUUAACACAGAGCUCUUGAGAUUUUUCCAUAGCUUUUUUGGGUUACUGAGGCUGCCACUUAUAUGAGUGUUAAAGAAACUCUUUUUCUCCCGCUCGAUUGCUUCUAGCACUAUGCGCUUCAUUGUAAUGUAGCUGUUCUUGAGUACAGAUGUUUUAUGUAAUUUGUAUUUUUUGUGGUAGGAGUCUCUCAACUGCAUCAUUUGUUUAAUAGUGUCAGUUAUCCAAGGGUGUGGAGGGUGCUUAAAUUUACGCUUUUUGACGGGAGCAUGGAGAUCCAUUAGUCCUACCACACAAUCAGUGAAGGCAGCAACUAGAUUGUUUACCCCAUCGAUUCUUCCAAAGUUAUACCAGUUGAUUGCUUUCAAGUCAGCAUUCAUUUGUUCAUGGAGUAUAUCUUUAAGCGGUCUGUAUGUCACCCAGUAUGGUUUUGGUUUAUCCUUCCUUACCUUGAGCUCCGCCAACAACAUAGCAUGGGCGCCCAGGUCAGGAGAAUGCCUCACUGUCACCUGAAGAGCCCGAAUGUCAGUGCAUAUUAGGUCUAUCAGUGUACUGCUGUGGUCGGUAUGAUGUGUGGGUUCCAAUACUAUUUGCUCAAGGCUAAGGGUAUGAAUGAAGCGUGUAAACUCCCUACAUUUGCAAUGGUUUUCGUCUAGGAGAUUAAUAUUAAAGUCGCCCACUAACACCAGCCCAUCGCAUUUAGGAAAAGAUGUAAUGGAUUCGGAGAUUGCAUCAAAAAAUGUACCCACAUCCUGCCAUGGUGGUCUGUAGGCUGUGCCGACUAUCACGACCUGGUUGCGAAGGCGUAAGGAUAUCCACAUCUGCUCAACAGACCCAGCAGUGUCAGGGUGAGGACAUGGCCUUACAUUAAGACCUCUCCGUAUAUAAAAUCCUAUACCACCUCCGCGUCCCCCUCGGAUGUGAAUUGGUCUGGGGGUGUGUUUCAGCCGAUAGCCACUCAGUUUCGGAGCCACAUCAUCCUCCCCCGCUCUAAGCCAGGUUUCGUUUAUGGCCAUAAUGUCCGGGGCAAGUUCCUCAAUUGCAAUAAUAAAUUCCUCAUGUCGAGUAUUCAGAGACCCCGCAUUAAAUAGACCCACAAGUAAAUUUUUCUUUAACCCAAGGCCUGUUGAUUUAGUAGGUUAUGUAAAAGCUGGCCCACAGUCAAGCGAGAAAACAAACAAUCAUAUUUGUGGUAAUUAGUAGUAGCAAUGGCAUCCGCAACAUCAAUGUAAAUACAAUUAUGUUCUUUGUGUUCAAUAUAAUAUACU